rnacentral:tRNA from 2 species
GGUGGUGUAGCCAAGUGGUAAGGCAGUGGUCUGCAAAACCGUGAUCGUGGGUUCGAUUCCCAUCACCACCU